rnacentral:rRNA from 1 species
UACGUAGGGUGCGAGCGUUGUCCGGAAUUAUUGGGCGUAAAGAGCUCGUAGGCGGUUUGUUGCGUCGGCUGUGAAAUCCCGAGGCUCAACCUCGGGUCUGCAGUCGAUACGGGCUAGCUAGAGUGUGGUAGGGGAGAUCGGAAUUCCUGGUGUAGCGGUGAAAUGCGCAGAUAUCAGGAGGAACACCGGUGGCGAAGGCGGAUCUCUGGGCCAUUACUGACGCUGAGGAGCGAAAGCGUGGGGAGCGAACAGG